AGCUUUUCGAAUCCGUGCUGAGAUUUCGUCAGACACCAACCCAUUAGGGUUGAUGAGACUUUCAAGAUUAGUGAAGUU
rfam:Schistosoma curassoni strain Dakar, Senegal genome assembly, scaffold: SCTD_scaffold0018883